CACGUAGGCGGUUGGACAAGUUAGAUGUGAAAUAUCAGGGCUUAACCUUGGUGCUGCAUCUAAAACUGUUCAACUAGAGUUCACUAGAGGGAAGCGGAAUUUCCGGUGUAGCGGUGAAAUGCGUAGAUAUCGGAAGGAACAUCAGUGGCGAAGGCGGCUUUCUGGAGUUGAACUGACGCUAAUGUGCGAAAGCGUGGGGAGCAAACG
rnacentral:rRNA from 1 species